rnacentral:rRNA from 1 species
CCAAUAGCGUAUAUUAAAGUUGUUGCAGUUAAAAAGCUCGUAGUUGAAUUUCGGGGUUAGCAGGUUGGUCAUGCCACUGGUAUGAACUGGCCUUGCUGAUUCCUCCCUCUUGAUGAGCCGUAAUGCCAUUAAUUUGGUGUUGCGGGGAAUCAGGACUGUUACUUUGAAAAAAUUAGAGUGUUUAAAGCAGGCAAGCGCUUGAAUACAUUAGCAUGGAAUAAUGAAAUAGGACGUUCGAUCUUAUUUUGUUGGUUUCUAAGAUUGACGUAAUGAUUAAUAGGGAUAGUUGGGGGCAUUAGUAUUCAAUUGUUAGAGGUGAAAUUCUUGGAUUUAUUGAAGACUAACUACUGCGAAAGCAUUUGCCAAGGAUGUUUUCAUUAAUCAAGAACGAAAGUUAGGGGAUCGAAGACGAUCAGAUACCGUCGUAGUCUUAACCAUAAACUAUACCGACUAGGGAUCGGAUGAUGUUAAUUUUUUAAUGACUCAUUCGGCGCCUUACG